GGUGAUGAGGAAAAAACAUAAAAACCCAAAAUACGGUUUUGAGAGACAUACGUUGUAGAAAGGGAGAACUGAGAAAGAGAACGAUAAAGAGAGAUUCACUGUCAUUGAUGGUGGAGAGAGAAAAAUCUGGAAAGACAGUCAGGCCUUUGCCAACAUCAGACCACCGUACCCUCCACCAGUAUGGUCUUUGUUUUUUUGUAUCAAAGUUUGUAGUAAAAAAAACAAAUGUUCUUUCAAGGAUCUCUCUUCUUCUCAAAAACCCUUCGUUCCAGGAAAAAGAAAGAAUGCUAACGAAGGAAGAUGAAUCCCUCUGCCUAUUAACAAUGCCUCCGACGGGCUUCCUAUCCAUUCUCUGACUUUUUUUUCUUUUUAAUUUGUGAGAUGAAGUGGAAUCUUUGUUCAAUCUAGAGUAUCUAAAUUCAUCAAAGCAAAGGAAGCAUUUGGCAAGGGAAAGUGCUCACUUGGUUUUAAACAAAGCUCUCUCUCAAUGCAAUGUCUUAAUUGCUGUUAAGAGCCAGAGAGUAGUUGAGAAACUGCUAGAGACAAAUAAAAAAAUGGCUAUUAAUGAUGUUGAGAAGAGGGCAAAAAUUGUCAAUAUCCUUAUGCACCAAGAAAUUUAUGGAAAAGGAUUGACUUUAAAAGCAUCAAGUAGAUGUGCUUAAGACAGGAUUCAGGUAGCUGUAGAUUUCUCUGUGAAAUUUCAUAAAUGUAACUUUGAUUUAGUGCUACCAUCUUUCUUUUUUCUUCUUUUUAUUUUUUAUUUUUAUUUAUUUUAUAGGGUAGUACAGUGAUUGGUAUUAAUAAAACUCUACAAUAUAACUUUUUCAA